rnacentral:rRNA from 1 species
UAGGGAAUCUUCGGCAAUGGACGGAAGUCUGACCGAGCAACGCCGCGUGAGUGAAGAAGGUUUUCGGAUCGUAAAGCUCUGUUGUAAGAGAAGAACGAGUGUGAGAGUGGAAAGUUCACACUGUGACGGUAUCUUACCAGAAAGGGACGGCUAACUACGUGCCAGCAGCCGCGGUAAUACGUAGGUCCCGAGCGUUGUCCGGAUUUAUUGGGCGUAAAGCGAGCGCAGGCGGUUAGAUAAGUCUGAAGUUAAAGGCUGUGGCUUAACCAUAGUAGGCUUUGGAAACUGUUUAACUUGAGUGCAAGAGGGGAGAGUGGAAUUCCAUGUGUAGCGGUGAAAUGCGUAGAUAUAUGGAGGAACACCGGUGGCGAAAGCGGCUCUCUGGCUUGUAACUGACGCUGAGGCUCGAAAGCGUGGGGAGCAAACAGGAUUAGAUACCCUGGUAGUCCACGCUGUAAACGAUGAGUGCUAGGUGUUAGACCCUUUCCGGGGUUUAGUGCCGUAGCUAACGUGUUCNGNNGNNCGCCCNNNCCANUACGACCGCAAGGUU